rnacentral:misc_RNA from 1 species
UACGGAGGGUGCAUGCGUUAAUCGGAAUUACUGGGCGUAAAGGGUGCGUAGGUGGUUGUAUAAGUUAUCUGUAAAAUCCCUGGGCUUAACCUGGGCAGGUCAGAUAAGACUGUAUGACUCGAGUAUGGGAGAGGGUAGUGGAAUUUCCGGUGUAGCGGUGAAAUGCGUAGAGAUCGGAAGGAACACCAGUGGCGAAGGCGGCUACCUGGCCUAAUACUGACACUGAGGCACGAAAGCCAAGGGAGCAAACAGG